rnacentral:rRNA from 1 species
GGCACUACGGUGCUGAAGCAACAAAUGCCCUGCUUCCAGGAAAAGCCUCUAAGCAUCAGGUAACAUCAAAUCGUACCCCAAACCGACACAGGUGGUCAGGUAGAGAAUACCAAGGCGCUUGAGAGAACUCGGGUGAAGGAACUAGGCAAAAUGGUGCCGUAACUUCGGGAGAAGGCACGCUGAUAUGUAGGUGAAGCGACUUGCUCGUGGAGCUGAAAUCAGUCGAAGAUACCAGCUGGCUGCAACUGUUUAUUAAAAACACAGCACUGUGCAAACACGAAAGUGGACGUAUACGGUGUGACGCCUGCCCGGUGCCGGAAGGUUAAUUGAUGGGGUUAGCGGUAACGCGAAGCUCUUGAUCGAAGCCCCGGUAAACGGCGGCCGUAACUAUAACGGUCCUAAGGUAGCGAAAUUCCUUGUCGGGUAAGUUCCGACCUGCACGAAUGGCGUAAUGAUGGCCAGGCUGUCUCCACCCGAGACUCAGUGAAAUUGAACUCGCUGUGAAGAUGCAGUGUACCCGCGGCAAGACGGAAAGACCCCGUGAACCUUUACUAUAGCUUGACACUGAACAUUGAGCCUUGAUGUGUAGGAUAGGUGGGAGGCUUUGAAGUGUGGACGCCAGUCUGCAUGGAGCCGACCUUGAAAUACCACCCUUUAAUGUUUGAUGUUCUAACGUUGGCCCGUUAUCCGGGUUGCGGACAGUGUCUGGUGGGUAGUUUGACUGGGGCGGUCUCCUCCUAAAGAGUAACGGAGGAGCACGAAGGUUGGCUAAUCCUGGUCGGACAUCAGGAGGUUAGUGCAAUGGCAUAAGCCAGCUUGACUGCGAGCGUGACGGCGCGAGCAGGUGCGAAAGCAGGUCAUAGUGAUCCGGUGGUUCUGAAUGGAAGGGCCAUCGCUCAACGGAUAAAAGGUACUCCGGGGAUAACAGGCUGAUACCGCCCAAGAGUUCAUAUCGACGGCGGUGUUUGGCACCUCGAUGUCGGCUCAUCACAUCCUGGGGCUGAAGUAGGUCCCAAGGGUAUGGCUGUUCGCCAUUUAAAGUGGUACGCGAGCUGGGUUUAGAACGUCGUGAGACAGUUCGGUCCCUAUCUGCCGUGGGCGCUGGAGAACUGAGGGGGGCUGCUCCUAGUACGAGAGGACCGGAGUGGACGCAUCACUGGUGUUCGGGUUGUCAUGCCAAUGGCACUGCCCGGUAGCUAAAUGCGGAAGAGAUAAGUGCUGAAAGCAUCUAAGCACGAAACUUGCCCCGAGAUGAGUUCUCCCUGACUCCUUGAGAGUCCUGAAGGAACGU